rnacentral:rRNA from 1 species
UCUUGACCCUUAAUAUAAGAGGUCCAUCCUGCCCAGUGAUUUUAUUUAACGGCCGCGGUAUCCUGACCGUGCAAAGGUAGCAUAAUCAUUUGCCUUUUAAUUGGAGGCUAGUAUGAACGGACAAACGCGGUUUAUCCUGUCUCCCCAAAGCCCUCUAUAAAUUAGUCUCCAGGUGAAGAAACCUGGAUCCCAUAAAAAGACAAGAAGACCCUAUUGAGUUUAACAUUAUACCCAUUUCAUUGAUGGUUAUUGUUUGGUUGGGGCGACCAAGGAACAAUUGACUCUUCCUUAAUUUUUAAGGUAUAUUCUACCUCUCAUCUUUGACCCUUCAUUGAUCAACAGAAUCAACUACCAUAGGGAUAACAGGCUUAUUUUCUCUGAGAGUCCACAUUAAAGAGAAAGUUUGGCACCUCGAUGUUGGCUUAGGGUAACCUCUAAAUGCAGCAGUUUAGAUUGGUUAGUUUGUUCAACUAUUAAACCCCUACGUGAUCUGAG